GGGGGUGAUCCGGUUUCGACGGGAUACGCCGAGGUCAGAUUGCGCGCCGUGGAUGCUCGUUGGCCACGCUAAAAAACGGGUACGAAAAGUAAUUGCGAACAACGAUUACGCUCUGGCCGCCUAAGUAAAGGCCGCCAUGUCGAAGCGCCGAUGUCUGCUGAGCGCCGAGGCAUAAUUUAGCAGGCCUCGCUGCGGGGAGUGCCGUUUGCCCGCCGCAGGGAGCCGAACCAAACGGAUGGAGGCGGAUAAGCCCGUGCGUCGGCGUACCGUCUCCGAGACCAAAGGCGCAAUACGCGCGUAGAUGUUUGGUCGGAGCUGUUCCGGACAGGGGUUCGACUCCCCUCACCUCCACCA
rnacentral:tmRNA from 1 species